UCACUAUGGGCUAUAAGUCUUUAUAGCAUACAUGCAUAAUAUUUUGUUUGUAUUUUAUGAACCUAGACAUUCUUUUUGGCAAGAUCAUUUAUAUAUAUAAUUUGUCUUGAGCCACUUUUUUUUUUUAUCGUGCCUCGUUUUAUUCUUUUUCUUUUGUCUAAAGUUGAAACUAUUAAUUUUUUAAAAACCUGAAAAUAAUCUUAUUUUAGUUGUAACUUUGAAAAGAAUCUUUAGUAAUUUUUAAAGUAAUGUUUGUUUUAAUUUUAAUUAGAGAAACAUAAAGACAAGCACUGUUUUGAAUAUAAAUUAAUUUUGAUAUCUAAUACAUUAUAAAUAAUUUAAAUUUAUCAUUUCAUUUUUAAUUAAUAGUAAUAAUAAAUUAAAAGUUAAAUUACACUUUUAAUCUCUUUAUUUUAUUUUAUUUAUAAAAUUAACUCUCUUAUUUUAAAUUCAAACAAAUUUGAUCUUGAUUCAUAUUUUUGCACUAAAAUUUAGUAAUUUAUUAAAUUUUAAAUAACAUAUCAUUUAUAAAACAUGAAAAAUGGUCACAUAGACACUUUUAUAAAAUUAUAAGAUAAAAUAAAAAUUACAUGUCAUUAAAAAAAUUUCAGUGAUUUUUUUGAAAAGAGGUCAAAUUAUUUGAAUUUAAAAUAGAAAAAUUAAUUUCAUAAAAGAAAUAAAAUAAAGAUUAAAAUUUAAUCAAGCAUAAUUAAAUCUAACCUCAAUAUUUUUAAAAAAAUGCAUAUAAGAGAUUUAAUAAAUAAGUCAACGUCAUUUUUUUGGCUUUAAAGCAAGAUAACUUUAUUUUUCUCGUAUGUCUCUAACUAAUGUUAUUUAAAUAUUUUAAGUAUUAUAUUUUUUAUUUGCCAUUUGUAUAAUGAAAAUAUACCAAUACUUAAUACUUAAUAAAGAUAACCGAGUAUCCUCAGUGCUAUUGUCACCUUUUUAUGGGUUUGCAAGGCAGUUGAUUUUGGAAUAUUUGGAAUUCAUAAAUAUACUUUAUGAUGCAUCUUAUUCACACACAAUUUAUUUGUUAUUGAGUCAGACCCCAAUUCUAUGACAAAAUAUAAUUCUGAAAUGCAUUUAUGUAUACCUUAAAGAAAUGUAUUUUCGGAAUCCACUCAACCAGAAACAAAUGCAGAAACGAAACAAAUACAGAAACAGAGAUAAAUUAACAUUGAUAAUUAUAAUGACAUACAUAAAAAUGAAAUAUUACAUAGAUAGUGAUUAACGUAAAUCGAAUAAUACAUUUCAUCAUCAAGUAAGACGUUUCAACAUCUUUAGAAUAUCUUCACUCUAUCUCACAAUCUUCGCAUCCGACUCAAUCAAACCUUUUGUUUCGUAACAGUGAAAUAUACUCCACAUAUCCUUUAAAUCUUAAUUUGUCUUAUGCUAAAACUUGCUGAACUGAAUUUUUCCUUCGUUGUCAACCGAUGGUGAACGGUACUUGUAACACCCUAAUUUUUUAAUUAAUAAUAUAAUUGAAUUUUUAAUUGCUUUUAUUUAUUUAUUUUGAGUGUUGGUGAACUAUAUGAUUUAUUUGGUAAUUGUGGAAUUUAUUGGGAUUUACUAGAUUUUAUUUAAUUAAAUAAUAAAAAUAAAGGAAUUAGGAGUUUUGGGGUAAAAAAAUGAAUUAGUGAGAAAAUUAGAGUGAAAGGACGGAAUAAGGAAAAUUUAAGGGAAAGUUGUGAAUUUAACAAAUCAGUAUUCGGUCGUUUAAAUAGAAAAAGGGAAGGGAAUGGAGAGUUUUUGAUCUGAUACGUGAAAAGUUGGAAAAAUGGAGAAAGUGGCAAGGAACCCUAAGGAUAGCUCUAGGAAGGAGAAGUCAUAACCAAAGCUUGAAUUCUUUGAUGGAAAAUCAGGGGGAUUACUUGAAUAUAGGUGUCAAUUGCAUUAAAGGGUUGAGAGGGAUCCCCACCCUCAUAUAGGUUUUCUUACUUGUUUCAUAAUUUGAAUGCUUGAUGUGUAGAUGAAGAUUUAUGCAAAAUUUAAUCCACACGCUGUGAUAAUUGUGAUUUGUGUGCUUUUUUUGAUGUUGAAUUGCACAUGCCUUGGCGUGUAUAAAUUCAUUGAGAAUGUUGUUCAUGUGGUUGGAGUUUUGGCAUUAUGAUCAUGGCCAAUUGAUGAAAUAUUGUUAAUUUGGAUGUUGAAAGAUGGUAAAUUUUGUAUGUUUUCAUGCACAAUGAUGUUUGGUAUGUUUUGGGACUGUUAGAGGUCAAAAAUAAGGUUUGAGGUCUGAUACAGGAUUGGAAAAUAAGAGCGAUCACACAAAAUCAGGAAACAAUCUUUGGGAUUUCUGGGCAUUGUUACAGGCCGUAGCAGCUCCUACGGGCCACCAUAGCAACCCUCUGGUUUUUGAAUCAGAGGCGUGCCCAGGGGGAAUGGCUAGGGAGUGCUACGGGCUGUAGUAGUUGCUAUGGCUGACCGUAGCAACUGCUACGGGCGACCAUAGAAACUCCCUGGAUUUUGUACCAAGUAUCUUGUUUCAAACGUAACUUGAGUUUCAUGAUUCUGUUUGAGGUGUGGUAUAAAGAGUUUGAUAGAUGACGCGUAACACUACCUUAUAAUAAUGGUUUAGAGAUUAAAUAUGUACAUGAAAAUAUGAAUGAUGUGUUUUACUUGUGAAAGUCUUAUGAGAUGAUUAUUUAAUAUUUAUAUGAUUAUGAAUUUGAGGGUUUGUUAUGAGUUGACGAAGAGCAUGACAAAUUAAUGUGAUAAAAUAUUAUGAUGAGUUAAAUAAUAUUUGAAAUAUGUGUAUAAUUGUAUGAAUAUGUAUCGUUGAAUAUAUUUGCAUAUCAUACCCGUUGUGUUGAGGUGAUGGCCUUAAUAUUUGAAAUAUGUGUAUAAUUGUAUGAAUAUGUAUCGUUGAAUAUAUUUGCAUAUCAUACCCGUUGUGUUGAGGUGAUGGCCUUAUUGGCGGUGUACAUGAUCAGAAGUGGGGCCGGUUGUGAUGACCAUAUUUGCAUGUUAUUGUUGAGUUCAUGCAUCAUGGUGUAUAAAAUUCAGUUCGGUGGUGAGAUUUGGUUCAAAAGUGGGGACCGAGAGCGAGUAGCCGAUUUAGUAAUGGAAUCCGUGAAAAUUUACUGAUUCAGUAGUGGGGAUCAGUGACGAUUAUGAUGGGCUCUGGUUCAGAAGAGGUGACUAGAAACGAGUAUGAAGAAAAUUCAGUAACAUAUCUAUGAUGUCUAAUCAGUACCGUAUGCACGUGGAGUCGAACAAUGGAUACAUUUGCAUACAUACCUGCAUGUGUGAUUGAGUAAUCAUUAUUAUUGUUUAUUGUUAUUAAUAAGCGCAUGAUUGAUGAUUGUGAUGAAUAUUCUACCCUUGCUAUGUCUUACAUCAUUAGUAUAUUUGAGCAUAUUCUCAUCCCUAUUUGUUUGUUGUGGUGUCUGUGCUCCCCUAGAGUACAUGCAAUCAGGUAGAAGACUAGUUGCUUGAGCUAGAGGACGGUGUGGAUGUCUAUUUAGUUAUUUAUCACUCGGGUGUUUAGUGGAGUCGAUCUGAUAUGUUGUACUGGGGAUAUGCUAUUUUAUAUUUCACUGUUACAUGCCUUAUUCGUUUUGGAGUCGUUGAACUACCUUGUUAUUCAUUUGUUGUUGAGAUAUUAUAUGUCAAACUCUAUUAUUCACGCGAUUAUAUUUUGUUGGUUUUUAUGUUUGGUGAAACAUGCGUGACACUCUAAGUAUUUAGUUAAAAUUAAAUUAUUCUACUAAAUGUUGAGUCAAGGAAUUAGGUGUUACAAUACUCGAGUUUGACAAUCUAUCGAUUGUUCGAGUAUUGUAGGAGAUUCUCCACUAUGAAUUUCAGAUCUACAAGAGAGGUGUACUUUGUGACCCUAAAUUCAAGUGAGGUAUUCACACCGUUGAAGUAGACAAAUGUGACAUGCCAAUAUAUGCUCAUUCUGGUGUGAUGUGAUUUCGUUGAAAAAUGAGAUGAGAGACCCAUACUUAUACAAAUUUUAGAUCAAUAUGGACUUUAAAAACCAAAGCUUGUCUUAGGAGAUAUACCAAAGAUUUACUUCUGGAUACACCCUGUUUCAUUUCGUGAAAUUUAUGAAAUUACGGUGAAUUCAAAAAUGCAAGUGGGGUUGAAAACAUCAUGUACGGUAUAGUUUGUAGUUUCAAUUACAACACAUUCAAUAUAAAUUAAAUCAGUCAAGACCUUAAUACGGUUUCUAGUUCUUCUUUUAAUCCCACCCUUCGAAAUGUGCACAUUAAUUUAAUUAUCACUCAAGAAUUACAACUAUCGAAAAAGCCCCAUAAGUAUUAUGGGAAAUAUGGCUCUGCCAUUCAUCUCACUUAUUUUAAACUCAUUAUUCAAACUUAUUCUCACUCCUCGUCUUAUUUUGAUGCUUUUACACCCUAUUAUAAAUCCACCAACAUGAAUCUUCUGCUUGUUUGACUCAUUGUUUUACAAUUGGUUCAACUCGAUAAUUUAUGGCUAUAUAAAAUAAAAUAAAUAUAAUAACUAAUUUAAAAAGAUCAAUUUUGAAAAAUGAAUUAAUGAAAUUAUUCUUCAAUCACAAAUUAAAUUGAAGAAAAACAUUAUUGAAAUUAAUAGUCAAUUUAGUGUUUGUUUCACUAAAUUCGGGGUUAUGACAAAGAAUAACAAAUGAAAAUUGUUAAGUUCAUAACAAGAAGUAAAUAUCGUGUUUAAAGAGGUAGUAAAAUAAAUAAAAUUUAAAUAAAUAUAUAAAAUUACACUGAUAAUAAAAAUAUCUUAAUGAAAUUUGGGAUGAAACAGAGAAAACAUUUUAAAAAUGGUUUGACAUCCGAGAUUGAUUUUCCACAUUUUCUUUUGUUGCUCCACCGCAUUCUCUUCCAUAAGACACUGUAGCACAAAUGUCGUAUUAUUGUCUUUUUAAGGUUUGUUAAUAUUUUUUUCUUAAUUUUCUUUUGAUCGUUUCAAUUUGGUCCUUGCUCAAAGAAACACUUUUAAAUUGAUUAAUUUCUUUUUUAGCUCUAAAUCAAAUCACUACUGCAUACACUCAUUUGCUUUAUUCAUUUUUCGUUAUAUAUAAAACAAUAUUCUUUAAAAUACACACUUUAAAAUACAUAUUAUUUUAGAGAGUGAUUAAAAAAGAGUAAAUAAAAUAAUAUUUUUAAUUAACCACCAGAUUAUGAUAAACACGGAAAAAAUCAUGUUAUAAUAAAUAUUUACAUAAGAUAAUUUAUUCAUGGAAGAAGCAUUUAUGAAAUACAUAUUUAGAUUAAGUUAAUAGUAGAAGUAAUUAUAGUAUAAACCAAACACAUAAAAAAUUAAAACAAAUAAUAUUUUCUACAUCUAGUUUAUCUCAAUUGAUGGUUUUUUGGUUCAUAAUAUUCCUCCUAAUGUAUUCACUUUUAGAAAAACAUAUAUGUGUUUCCUAUGUCCGUUUUUUAGUUUAAACUAUUAUACUAAUUUUUUUUAUAUAAUUCAGGAAUAAAAAUAUUAAUAUAAAAAUAAGAAGCGGCGAUCAAUGUGUAAGAAACCACGAUUACAAAUUUUUUUAUUUACAAAAGGGCUAAAUAAGAAUUAACUAUACUGCAAGGAAGUUUCCUCUCGUUGUCUCAGCAUUUCGAUCCUAAAUACCCAUGCAGAUUGAGAUCUGAGGAGGCAUUUAUGGCAACGGGGUGACCUGCUGAAUCACAAAAACCAUCACUGGAGACAAUUUAGCUCUAUACAGUUGCACUUGUUUUUGCUUGUCUCUUCUUCUUGUUUUCCUCUUCCUUCGUUUCAUUUAUUCCUUUUCCCUGGUUUCAUUUCUUUGACCCACAAGUCAAAAUCUCCUUCCUUCGGUAACAGUUACUAUCACAAUUGCUCUGUGAAUUGUAGUUUGCGCAACAUAAAGAUCCCUAAAAUAAUUUGAAUAUUUUUUUAGCUGUAGCUCUCAAUUCUCUAAAUAGAUACUAUGAUAUUAAAUUUACAAAUUUGUUGUCAAUGAGAUGUAAACUUAGUGUAUGAGUUUCUUCUUAUAAUUUUAAGAGAACAAAAUUCACAAAUCCCUUAAAUUAUUUAAAAAUGAUUAUAAGUAUCUUUUUAACUUAAUAUAAUAUAUAUUUAUUGUCUAGUUUAUUAGCUAUGUUAUAAAAUAAUUUUUGUUAUACCUCCUUAAUAUCCCAGAAUUGACAAAUAUGUCAAAGUCUUGAAGUUGUUGAUUUUCUUCUGGGGUGAUCUCAAAGAAUUUGCCAACACUUGUUAGAAAUAGAUAGGAUUGCGACUUCUCAAGUUGAAUGGUCCAGAUUCUGAUGAUACACCUUUUUUGGAACUGGACUUUGCAUUUUUGCUCAAUUCCUCAAUUUGUUCCCUUGAUACUUUGACUAUACAUUUUCUUCGUUGCUCUCUGUCUCCUAUCUUAAGACUUCUUCUGUGUUGUGGCUCUUGUUCCUGUUGUUCUAAAAGAACCUUUCUCUCUCCUCGUAAUUGGUCUUUAUAUUUUGAACAGUAUUAUAAAAGGACAAAGUGAAUAUUUACAUAAAGUAAACCAAACUAGUACAGGAAAAACGAAUAAAGGAUGUGUGUGUUGCAUGCUUACAUUGAAAGCAGCCUCUAGAAUAUUCUUGCUGAAUCCAGAUAAUAAUGAUGUUGAUUUUGAGUUCCAGAUAAUAAGAAAGACUGUUAAAAUUACAAUAAACAAUGGAAGAGUGGACAAACUUUACGAUAUAAUGUGGGAAAAUGGAGUCGCAACUGUUGUGUGAUACUAUUGUAGAUCCUCUAAAAUUAUUUCAUGUGGUUGCAUGCAAAUAAUGUGUAUAUGAGAAAAGGUAAGCUUCAACUUUAUUACUGCAAUUGACCGGCGUUUGUUUACUGGAUGGCGGAGAUCUAAUACUCUAAGAUUCCUCGUUGUCAUCUCGGUUAGCAAAUAAGCAAUAGUGCCAGCAGGGAGUUUGAUGGCAUCACCACGUUCAAGAUGAAGGAGUUUCGAUCGUUGAUUUCAACACUGUGAGAGUGGCUUUCCCUGCAUAUUGCAAUUAAGAUCAUAUUUUAUUUUCAACUUAAUUUAUCUCACAAAAAUCAAAUUUAUAAAGUAAAGAAAUAUCAUUAUUUAUAAAAAAAACUAUUGGAUUAAUUUGAAAUCUAUAAAUGAUACGUAUACAUUACCACUAAGGACUACAAGAUGAAGUCGGCAUCGGUGUAUUGUGGAAGAAAAAGGGUGUGAGGUUUGGACUUAUAUUCUAAAAGACGGUAAUUUUGAGAUUUUCAAAUAUUUGGAACGUUUGUCAAAUUUUUGAGAAGACGAAUGUGACCGUUUUCGUUCUCAUAAAGAGUUUGAAAUCGGUUAGACUUAAAGAUAAAGGGGUUCUCUUGAUCGGAUCUAGAAGAGACACAAACUGAGGCCUAGGAAGCAUUGCCACAACAUUAACGGUUUUGAUUGGAGUAGCAGCAUAUUGAUUUGGAUUAAUGUGUUACUCCUGCUUACUAUGAUGAAGAGAUGAUGGAGUACACUGAAAUGAGUGAGUAUUUAUACACAAUGAAUUAAAGCUAUAAGUUACCAUGCACAGCAUUUGGCCAUAGUUUGCCAUGCAUGUUGAUAGUGUAGAAUGAACAAAAUUGAGGUGGCUAAUUAAAAUGAAAGAACCGUAUAUGGUAAUGAACAUGGUGGUGAUUUUGUUUGUAUUUUAUGAACCUAGACAUUCUUUUUGGCAAGAUCAUUUCUAUAUAUAAUUUGUCUUGAGCCAUUUUUUUUAUCGUGCUCGUUUUUAUUCUUUCUUUUGUCUAAAUUGACACUAUUAAUUUUUUAAAAACUCUGAAAAUAAUCUUAUUUUAGUUGUAACUUUGAAAAGAAUCUUUAGUAAUUUUUAAAGUAAUAUUGUUUUUGAUUUAAUUAGAGAACAUAAAGACACGCACUGUUUUGAAUAUAAAUUAAUUUUGAUAUCUAAUAGAUUAUAAUAUUUUAAAUUUAUCAUUUCUUUUUAAUUAUAGUAAUAAUAAAUUAAAAGAUAAAUUGCACUUUUAAUCUCUUAUUUUAUUUGAUUUAUAAAUUUAACUCUCUUAUUUUAAAUUCAAAACAAAUUUGAUCUUCAUUCGUAUUUUUGCACUAAAAAUUUAGUAACCUUAUUAAUUUUUAAAUAACGUAUCAUUUGUAAAACAUGAAAAAUGGUCAUAUAGACACUUUUAUAAAAUUAUAAGAUAAUAAAAUUACUGUCAUUAAAAAAUCAGUGAUUUUUUGAAAAGAGGCCAAAUUAUUUGAAUUUAAAUAGAAAAAUUAAUUUCAUAAAAAUAAAAUAAAGAUUAAAAUUUAAAUCAAGCAUAAUUAAUCUAACAAUUUUUAAAAAAUGCAUAUAUAGGAUGUUUAAUAAUAAGUCACGUCCAUUUUUUUUGGCUUUAAAGCAAGAGUAACUUUAUUUUUCUCGUAACAGUCUCUAACUUAAUGUUAUUUACAUAUUUUAAAGUAUUAUAUUUUAUUUUGGCAUUGUCAUAAUGAAGAAUAUACCAAUACUUAAUACUUAAUAAAGAUAACCGAGUAUCCUCCGAGUGCUAUUGGUGUUUGGAUAACUUGAAUUUUCUACAAAUAUAAUAUUUGGUGAUUGUUUUAUAAAAACUUAUGAAAAUAGUUUUAAUAUUUUCAUAAUUUUUUUAUUUUAUUUUCAUAAAAUUUCAAGAUGGUUUAUGAAACAAAUUAUAAGAUAUAUCAAUAAUUUAAUUUUAUAUUACUUUUUGCUAUAAAAAUAACUUACACAUAAUAUCUAAUUAUCAUGAUAGAUUAUAAAAUAAAAAAAAUUGUUUAUCUUAAAGUAAGUUUAUAUUAACUUUGGGGUCUUAGGUUUUACAAAAAAAAUCUAUUAAAAAAAUGCUACUUAGAUUUUUUCUAUCAAUCACUUAAAACAUAGAGAUAAUCAUAAUGAUGUUUUAAAUAAAGUUAUUUUGGCAAAUUUGAAUAUAUAAAGUGGUGAUUGAAAAAUCCUUAUCUUAUUAUUGAGGGGAUUUCUCUUCCUAUCUUAAAUUGCUUUCUCACCUUAGUGAAAAACCAAACUAUAUUUGGAAUUCAUAAAUAUACUUUAUGAUGCAUCUAUUCACACACAAUUUAUUGUUAUUGAGUCAGACCCAAUUCUAUGACAAAAUAUAAUUCUGAAAUGCAUUUAUGUAUACCUUAAAGAAGUGUAUUUUGGAAUCCACUGAACAUGAACAAAUGCAGAAAUGAAACACGAUGCAGAAACAAGAUAAAUUAACAUUAACAAUUAUAAUAACAUACAAAAAUGAAACAUUACAUAGAUAUAAUGAUUAACGUAAAUCGAAUAAUACAUUUCAUCAUCAAGUAAGACAUUUCAACAUCUUAGAAUAUCUUCACUCGAUCUCACAAUCUUCGCAUUCGGCUCAAUCAGACCUUUGUUUUGUAACAGUGAAAUGUACUCCACAUAUCCUUUAAAUCUUAAUUUGUCUUAUGCUAAAACUUUUGAACUGAAUUUUUCCUUCGUUGUCAACCGAUGGUGAACGUUACUUGUAACGCCUAAUUUUUUUAAUUAAUAAUAUAAUUGAAUUUUUAAUUUCUUUAUUUAUUUAUUUUAAAGUGUUGGUGACACUAUAUGAUUUAUUUGGUAAUUUGAAUUUAUUGGGAUUUACUAGAUUUAUUUAAUUAAAUAAUAGAAAAUAAGGAAUUAGGAGUUUUGGGGUAAAAAAUUGAAUUAGUGAGAAAAUUAGAGUGAAAUGACGGAAUAAAGAAAAUUUAAGGGAAUGUUGUGGAAUUUAACGAAUUAGUAUUAGGUCAUUUAAAUAGAAAAAGGAGGGAGUGGAGAGUUUUUGAUCUGAUACGUGAAGAGUUGGAAAAAUGAGAAAGUGGAAAGGAACCCUAAGGAUAGCUCUAGGAAGGAGAAGUCAUAACCAAAGCUUGAAUUCUUUGAUGGAAAAUCAUGUUAGGGGGAUUACUUGAAUAUAGGUGUCAAUUGCAUUAAAGGGUUGAGAGGGAUCCCCACCCUAUAUAGGUUUUCUUACUUGUUUCAUAAUUUUUGAAUGCUUGAUGUGUUAGAUGAAGAUUUAUGCAAAAUUUAAUCCACAGCUGUGAUAAUUGUGAUUUGUGUGCUUUUUUUUGAUGUUGAAUUGCACAUGCCUUGGCGUGUAUAAAUUCAUUGAGAUGUUGUUCAUGUGGUGGAGUUUUGGCAUUAUGAUCAUGGCCAAUUGAUGAAAUAUUGUUAAUUUGGAUGUUGAAAGAUGGUAAAUUUUGUAUUUUUUCAUGUACAAUGGUUUAGUAUGUUUUGGGACUGUUAGAGGUCAAAAUAAGGUUUGAGGUCUGAUGCAGGAUUGGAAAACAAGAGCGAUCACAAAAAAUCAGGAACAAUCUUUGGGAUUUCUGGGCAUUGUUACAAGCAGUAGCAGCUCCUACGGGCCACCAUAGCAACCCUCUGGUUUUUGAAUCAGAGGCGUGCCCAGGGGGAAUGGCUAGGGAGUGCUAUAGGUUGUAGCAGUUGCUAUGGAUGACCGUAGCAACUGCUACGGACGACCAUAGAAACUCCCUGGAUUUUGUACCAAGUGUCUUGUUUCAAACGUAACUUGAGUUUCGUGAUUCAGUUUGAGGUGUGGUAUAAAGAGUUUGAUAGAUGACGCGUAACACUACCUUAUAAUAAUGGUUUAGAGAUUAAAUAUGUACAUGAAAAUAUGAAUGAUGUGUUUUUCGUGAAAGUCUUAUGAGAUGAUUAUUUAAUAUUUAUAUGAAUAUGAAUUUGAGGGUUUGUUACGAGUUGACGAAGAGCGUGGCAAAUUAAUGUGAUAAAAUAGAAUUUACGCAUGCUUCUUCUAAGCAUACAUUAUCUUUAAAAAUUAGAGAGUUUCAUAAAAUUAACAAAUUACUUUAAAUUAUGUAAAUAUAUUAAACAUUUGCGGGUAUUUUUAAAAUACUGACAUGCCAAAAAAUUUAUUUCGAUAAUCACACGAUCAAAUGUACUUUAAUUAAAUUUAUUGACAUCAUCUGAGCAGGUGACAUAAUCUUUAUAAUACUGAUCAGGAUGUGUUGGUAUGAUAUGGAAAUUUUUUCACAUGCUUCUUUUCUUUCUAAUUUUAUAUAUGAGGGAUUUGUACUUGUAAGAAACAAUAGAUAUCUAAUUAAGAUUAUGUUUUAAAGACAACGUGAAAAAAUGGAACACUGGUCAAAAUUAUUUAUCAAUUGAUUUUUAUGCGUAAAAUUAAUUGGUUAUUCAUGUACAUUUAUCUUUAAUUUAUUACUAUAGAAUUAGAUUUACGCGUGCAACUUCUAAGCAUAAAUUCUAUUUAAAAAUUAGAGAGUUUAUAAAAAUUAACAAAUUAUUUAACAUAGUGAAAAAAAAUAUAAAAUUUUAAAGGAGUUUUUAAAACACUCACAUGCCAACAUUUUUAUUUCGACUAUCAAAUUAAUUAUGACAAAAUAGAUAUAAUUAAAUAUAUAAUCCAUCAUUUAUGUAUGAUUAAAUCAUCUAUAGUAAGUAGCAUAAAGGGGUAGUAGCAUAGAGUAGUAUAUAUUCCAUAAGAAAAGCAUAGUAGGUUAGGCGAGAUACAAAACUUAUUUUUGGUUUAUUUAUUCGCGAGAUACAAAACUUAUUCUUGGUUUAUUUAUUCAUAGUAGAAAAGUGAAACUCGAGUUAUAGUUACAAGAGAAUGACAUUUCAUCCUUUGCUCACUAUGAGCUAUAACUCAACAAAACUUAUUCUUGGUUUAUUUAUUCAUAGUAGAAAAGUGAAACUCGAGUUAUAGUUACAAGAGAAUGACAUUUCAUCCUUUGCUCACUAUGAGCUAUAACUCUUUAUAGCAUACAUGCAUAGUACUUUAUAACUUAUUAAAAGCAUCCAGAAUUGAAGAUAGAUGAUCCCUUAUUUGAUGGUUUCUUUACUCUCUUUGCAGAGGUUGAGCAUUUGCAAAAUAAGAUUGCUUUUGAUUCUUUAGGAGCCUAUCAACCUCAUGAGAAGAUCCAGGAAAUGCAAGCUCUUUAACUGGUCUUUGUACUUAACUUAUGACAUUGUCUUCCUCACCUUCAAAUUGGCAAUCACCCAAAAAAUUAUUAUUUAAUUAAUUUAUUUCCUCAUUUAUUCAAAUAGAAGAAAACAUAUU
rnacentral:lncRNA from 1 species